rnacentral:snoRNA from 10 species
CCCUUCCAAAAAGCGCUUGCCUGGUCUGUCUAGUGGCUGGGUGAGUUGUCGUUAGAAGGGAAUAUCAAUCCCUUCACUGUGGGUGAGAUGGCGGUAUUUUCAAUGACUGACCAAUCUCAAUCAGUGUUGGUACAAAC